UUUGACCUCAAAUCAGGUAGGAUUACCCGCUGAACUUAAGCAUAUC
rnacentral:rRNA from 2 species